rnacentral:rRNA from 1 species
UACGAACCGUCCAAGCGUUACUCGGAAUCACUGGGCUUAAAGGGUGCGUAGGCCGCGCGGUGUGUGGGAUGUGAAAUCCCCCGGCUCAACCGGGGAAUAGCGUCCCAAACCGCCGUGCUCGAGGGAGACAGAGGUGAGCGGAACUGAUGGUGGAGCGGUGAAAUGCGUUGAUAUCAUCAGGAACACCAGUGGCGAAAGCGGCUCACUGGGUCUUUCCUAACGCUGAGGCACGAAAGCUAGGGGAGCGAACGGG